rnacentral:rRNA from 1 species
GUGAGGAAUUUUGCGCAAUGGGGGAAACCCUGACGCAGCAACGCCGCGUGAGUGAUGAAGGCUUUCGAGUCGUAAAGCUCUGUCAAGUGGGAAGAAUCUAAAAUAGGAUAAUACCCUAUUUUACUGACGGUACCACUGAAGGAAGCACCGGCUAACUCCGUGCCAGCAGCCGCGGUAAUACGGAGGGUGCAAGCGUUAUUCGGAAUUAUUGGGCGUAAAGGGCGCGUAGGCGGCCUUUUAAGUCAGAUGUGAAAGCCCGGGGCUUAACCCCGGAAGUGCAUUUGAAACUAAGAGGCUUGAGUAUGGGAGAGGGAAGUGGAAUUCCUGGUGUAGAGGUGAAAUUCGUAGAUAUCAGGAGGAACACCGGUGGCGAAGGCGACUUCCUGGACCAAUACUGACGCUGAGGCGCGAAGGCGUGGGGAGCAAACAGGAUUAGAAACCCGGGUAGUCC